rnacentral:rRNA from 1 species
UGGGGAAUAUUGCACAAUGGGGGAAACCCUGAUGCAGCAACGCCGCGUGAAGGAAGACGGUUUUCGGAUUGUAAACUUCUAUCAAUAGGGAAGAAAGGAAUGACGGUACCUAAAUAAGAAGCCCCGGCUAACUACGUGCC